rnacentral:rRNA from 1 species
CAGCAGCCGCGGGAAUACGUAGGGUGCGAGCGUUAAUCGGAAUUACUGGGCGUAAAGCGUGCGCAGGCGGUUGUGUAAGACAGGCGUGAAAUCCCCGGGCUUAACCUGGGAACUGCGCUUGUGACUGCACAGCUAGAGUAUGGCAGAGGGGGGUGGAAUUCCACGUGUAGCAGUGAAAUGCGUAGAGAUGUGGAGGAACACCGAUGGCGAAGGCAGCCCCCUGGGCCAAUACUGACGCUCAUGCACGAAAGCGUGGGGAGCAAACAGGAUUAGAUACCCCAGUAGUCCCUGUCUCUUAUAC